rnacentral:rRNA from 1 species
UACGGAGGGGGCUAGCGUUGUUCGGAGUUACUGGGCGUAAAGCGCACGCAGGCGGCUUUGCAAGUUAGAGGUGAAAGCCCGGGGCUCAACUCCGGAAUUGCCUUUAAAACUGCAUCGCUAGAAUUGUGGAGAGGUAAGUGGAAUUCCGAGUGUAGAGGUGAAAUUCGUAGAUAUUCGGAAGAACACCAGUGGCGAAGGCGACUUACUGGACACAUAUUGACGCUGAGGUGCGAAAGCGUGGGGAGCAAACAGG